rnacentral:ncRNA from 1 species
AAAGAUGGUGAACCUAAGCCAGAACAAAGUCCUGACGGAGGUAUACAGCGAUUCUAACGUGCGAAUUGAUCGUCGGAGCUGAGUACAGGGACCAAAGAACAAUCGAAACAUUCAGUUG